rnacentral:rRNA from 1 species
AUUGAACGCUGGCGGCAUGCCUUACACAUGCAAGUCGAACGGCAGCACGGGAGCAAUCCUGGUGGCGAGUGGCGAACGGGUGAGUAAUAUAUCGGAACGUGCCCAGUCGUGGGGAUAACGUAGCGAAAGCUACGCUAAUACCGCAUACGAUCUAUGGAUGAAAGCGGGGGAUCGCAAGACCUCGCGCGAUUGGAGCGGCCGAUAUCAGAUUAGGUAGUUGGUGAGGUAAAGGCUCACCAAGCCGACGAUCUGUAGCUGGUCUGAGAGGACGACCAGCCACACUGGGACUGAGACACGGCCCAGACUCCUACGGGAGGCAGCAGUGGGGGAAUUUUUGGGACAAUGGGCGCAAGCCUGAUCCAGCAAUGCCGCGUGCAGGAUGAAGGCCC